CAAGGCAACUGAACAGACUUCCUGCUGCUGCUGUGGGGGACAUGGUGAUGGCCACAGUGAACAAAGGCAAACCAGAGUUGAGAAAGAAGUUACAUCGAGCAGUGGUAAUUCGACAACGAAAUUCAUACCGGAGAAAAGAAGGCAUGUUUCUCUAUUUGAGGAUAUCACAGGGAUCAUAAGAGAGUCGUGAGGGAAAGC